rnacentral:rRNA from 1 species
AUCUGGGAGGUUGAUUCAGGAUCAAAUAUUAGGACAAUACUCUCAAGGGAGCAUUCAUAUCUGAAGCAGCUGAUGAUAUAUAUGCAUGGCGAUGUGUCACCUGUUUCAGACCUUGAAAGUGCUCUAGAACAAGAGAAAGAUGAAGUGUCGGUAAAACCGGAUAUCAUCAAGGCAUGGAUAUACUGUCAUGAGCAGAGGAUGAGAUUUAUGUAUGGAAGGAACGUUGGGCUGCCGCUGGUUCCACCAUCAGGGCUUCAAGAGUUGGCACGUGGAGCAGAAUGUUUGCCAUUAUCCAUUCAGAGUCUUGGUAUAAGCAAUUGUAUGCUUGCAGCUGACUUCUUCUGUACUGACUAGCGACACAUGGAUUAUAUUUCCAUAAGAAGUUGCAGAAGCACCACAUGCUUCUCCAUUGGUAGUCCCACCUCUAUCAGAAAAUUAUUUCUGGAGAAGUUGCCAGAUUUAUGUACGCUCAAAGGAUUGUCUUCCUUGCAAGUUGAAUUUCUAAGCUUGAUGGAUGUUCCGAAACUCACCCCUGAGUGUAUCUCACAGUUUCGAGUCCAGGACACACUCUGUGUUAGCAGUCUUGUAAUACUCAACAUCAUGCUCUCAGCUGAAGGUUUCAUAGUUCCAACAUAUCUCAGUCUUGUAAGAUGCAAGGAACGAUCCAUGUCAUUCGAAGAAUCCGCAAAUUUCACAUCUGUGAAGGAUCUGGCAUUCCGUGAUUGUCAAAUGAUUUCCCUGCCAACAAAUUUGAAGUGCUUCUCCAAUCUGAAAUAUCUCGACAUUCAACGCUGCCCCAACAUAUCAUCUUUACCGGAUCUGCCAUCCUCCCUCCAGCGCUUAGACGUGUGGGGUUGUGAGCUCUUGAAGGAAAGCUGCCGAGCACCUGAUGGAGAAAGUUGGCCAAAGAUUGCGCAUAUCCGCUGGAAGGGAUUUUAUGAUGUGAUUUAG